UACGGGGGGAGCAAGCGUUGUUCGGAUUUACUGGGCGUAAAGGGCGCGUAGGCGGUCAGUGCAAGUCAGUUGUGAAAUCUCCGGGCUUAACUCGGAAAGGUCAACUGAUACUGCUCGACUAGAGUGCGGAAGGGGCAACUGGAAUUCUUGGUGUAGCGGUGAAAUGCGUAGAUAUCAAGAGGAACACCUGCGGCGAAGGCGGGUUGCUGGGCCGACACUGACGCUGAGGCGCGAAAGCUAGGGGAGCGAACGGG
rnacentral:rRNA from 1 species